rnacentral:tRNA from 1 species
GACCCCAUCGUCUAGCCUGGUCUAGGACUCGAGCUUUUCAAGCUCGCAACACGGGUUCGAAUCCCGUUGGGGUCG